UACGAAGGGUGCAAGCGUUACUCGGAGUUACUGGGCGUAAAGCGUGCGUAGGUGGUUUGUUAAGUCUGUUGUGAAAGCCCCGGGCUCAACCUGGGAAUGGCAAUGGAUACUGGCAGGCUAGAGUGCGGGUAGAGGGUAGUGGAAUUCCCGGUGUAGCGGUGAAAUGCGUAGAGAUCGGGAGGAACACCAGUGGCGAAGGCGGCUACCUGGACCAGCACUGACACUGAGGCACGGAAAGCGUGGGGAGCAAACAGGG
rnacentral:rRNA from 1 species